UGGCCCGGGGGGCGGGGCGGCCCCAAGCCAGGGUCCAGGCCCAGGAGCGGCACCGGAAGGGAGGGUUCUGGAGGCAAGAAGUCCAAGAUCAAGAGUCAGCAGAGGGGAUUUCCUCUAAGGAGCCUCAGGGAAGAAUCUGUCCCGGCCUCUCUCCUUGAUUGGAGGUGCCAUCUUCUUCCUAUGUUUUUACAUUGUCUUCUGUCUGUAUACAUCUGUGUCCAGAUUUCCUCUUCUUACAAGGGCACCAGUUAUGUUGAAUUAGGACCCACCGUAACCACCUCACACUACCUUAAUUACCUCCUUAAAGACACUGUCUAAAAAAAAAAAAAAAAAAAAAAAA